GAAAUCAGAGUAUUUUGCCUGCUGAGAUUUCUUUUAACAGCUAAACACUGGUAAAUUUUAAUGAAUGUUCUCUUGGGUACAAAGUUCUUUAUAUAUUCAUUAUUUAUAAAACUAAUUUUGAGAAUUGUCUGAGCUAUUGAAUUCUAAAUAGCUAUAAAUAUUUUCAGUUUACUUUAUCUGUCCAUUUAUAAGCAAGAUAUUAAA
rnacentral:lncRNA from 1 species